AUUGAACGCUGGCGGCAGGCUUAACACAUGCAAGUCGAACGAUGAUUAUCUAGCUUGCUAGAUAUGAUUAGUGGCGGACGGGCGAGUAACAUUUAGGAAUCUGCCUAGUAGUGGGGGAUAGCUCGGGGAAACUCGAAUUAAUACCGCAUACGACCUACGGGUGAAAGGGGGCGCAAGCUCUUGCUAUUAGAUGAGCCUAAAUCAGAUUAGCUAGUUGGUGGGGUAAAGGCCCACCAAGGCGACGAUCUGUAACUGGUCUGAGAGGAUGAUCAGUCACACCGGAACUGAGACACGGUCCGGACUCCUACGGGAGGCAGCAGUGGGGAAUAUUGGACAAUGGGGGCAACCCUGAUCCAGCCAUGCCGCGUGUGUGAAGAAGGCCUUUUGGUUGUAAAGCACUUUAAGCAGGGAGGAGGGGCUAAUGGUUAAUACCCAUUAGAUUAGACGUUACCUGCAGAAUAAGCACCGGCUAACUCUGUGCCAGCAGCCGCGGUAAUACAGAGGGUGCGAGCGUUAAUCGGAAUUACUGGGCGUAAAGCGAGUGUAGGUGGCUCAUUAAGUCACAUGUGAAAUCCCCGGGCUUAACCUGGGAACUGCAUGUGAUACUGGUGGUGCUAGAAUAUGUGAGAGGGAAGUAGAAUUCCAGGUGUAGCGGUGAAAUGCGUAGAGAUCUGGAGGAAUACCGAUGGCGAAGGCAGCUUCCUGGCAUAAUAUUGACACUGAGAUUCGAAAGCGUGGGUAGCAAACAGGAUUAGAUACCCUGGUAGUCCACGCCGUAAACGAUGUCUACUAGCCGUUGGGGUCCUUGAGACUUUAGUGGCGCAGUUAACGCGAUAAGUAGACCGCCUGGGGAGUACGGCCGCAAGGUUAAAACUCAAAUGAAUUGACGGGGGCCCGCACAAGCGGUGGAGCAUGUGGUUUAAUUCGAUGCAACGCGAAGAACCUUACCUGGUCUUGACAUAGUGAGAAUCCUGCAGAGAUGCGGGAGUGCCUUCGGGAAUUCACAUACAGGUGCUGCAUGGCUGUCGUCAGCUCGUGUCGUGAGAUGUUGGGUUAAGUCCCGCAACGAGCGCAACCCUUUUCCUUAUUUGCCAGCGGGUUAAGCCGGGAACUUUAAGGAUACUGCCAGUGACAAACUGGAGGAAGGCGGGGACGACGUCAAGUCAUCAUGGCCCUUACGACCAGGGCUACACACGUGCUACAAUGGUAGGUACAGAGGGUUGCUACACAGCGAUGUGAUGCUAAUCUCAAAAAGCCUAUCGUAGUCCGGAUUGGAGUCUGCAACUCGACUCCAUGAAGUCGGAAUCGCUAGUAAUCGCAGAUCAGAAUGCCGCGGUGAAUACGUUCCCGGGCCU
rnacentral:rRNA from 1 species